rnacentral:lncRNA from 1 species
CUUGUGCUUGCGCAGCAGGCAGCGAAACCACUGAGCUAAAUCCCCGGCCCUAAGGGUCUUCCUAAAUUACUGAAUUGUCCAAGCUGAGUUCAGACAUGAUCCUCCUUCCUGAGCUUCCCCGAGUGCUUGGAUUACAGUGAGCCCAGAGUGGAUCCAAGGUUGUCCUCCCUGGCCAUACUGGGUGCAGCCUCAGCCUCAUGGCACCAAAGUUGGCCUCGUGGAAGUCGCCAGCAACAUGGGUGAGUUCUGGAGCGCAUUUCACUCUAGUCAGUACUGGCCUCGACACACAGUACCUCCCUCCACUUUCUCAUUCUGUCUCUGGAAAUACUGCUGUGGGUUCCAUGACAACCUGUACACCAUGAUUGAUAGGGGUCAUUCCCCCCCCAUCCCCCUUCUCUCUGUCUCUCUCGUUCAGGCUGGUCCUGAACAAGUGUGCACCACAAAGCCUGGCCUCUUUCUGCUUAGCCACUCUA